rnacentral:rRNA from 1 species
AUGGGAAGUGCUGGUUUAGAGCAAACAAAGGCGCGCUCGCACAUCAAUUGUGCACAACCGGCGACAAGAACCUGGCAGAGGAAAUUCGACGAUGAAGGCAAGAAGAUCCAACUGUUUAGCAUGACCAUGAAUGACAAGAUAUCAAUCGCGUUCGUCUCGCGUCCCAACGGAAAGAGCUACUCGACGGUGUUGUCUGCGCCGACUGCUGAUGCCCUCAAGGGAGUCGAUAAGGCCACUAUUGGAUCUUGGGACUGGAAGCUUAAGGAGAGAAACUGUACUUAUCAUGCCUUGUUCCCAAGAUCUUGGACAGUUUACGAUGGUGAACCUGACCCUGAAAUCAAGAUCACCUGCCGUCAGAUAUCACCAAUCAUCCCUCACAACUACAAGGAGAGCAGCUUCCCUGUUGCAGUUUUCACUUUUACGGUGCAAAAUUCUGGGAGCACACCUGCAGAUGUAACAUUGCUCUUCACAGAGCGUGAUGGUGUGCGCGGCGUUCUUCUCCGUCACAGGACUGCGGAUGGGCACCCACCGGUGACGUUCGCCAUCGCGUCUCAAGAAACAGAGGACGUCCGCGUCACGGACUGCCUUCUCUUCACGAUGGGAUCGUCGGAGUCGGGCGACUUCACGGCCAAGGACAUGUGGGAGGAGAUCAAACAGCAUGGUUCCUUCAGCACCGGCAGAGAGCCAAGGGCGUCGGAGCCCGGAUCAUCCAUCGGAGCGGCGGUCGCGGCGGCAACGACGGUGCCGGCAGGGGGGAGCCGCGUGGUGUCCUUUGCUUUGUCGUGGUCGUGCCCCGAGGUGAAGUUCACGGACGGGAAAACGUAUCACAGGCUUUGUGGAACAGGAGGUACACCAAGUUCUGUGGCUUGGAUCGAGACGCUGCUGCAGCAAGCUUGGCAUGAUGCUCUUCUUGAACACAUGGAGUGGGAGUCGAAAAUCCAGGAGUGGCAGAGGCCUAUUCUGCAGGACAAAAGGCUGCCCGAGUGGUAUCCGGUUGCAUUGUUCAACGAACUCUACUAUCUGAUCGCUGGAGGCACCAUAUGGACAGAGAGGAUUCUGAUGCAGAGGCCGCCGGUGUGCUGCUCAUCGAGGGCUGGCCAGUUAUCGAAAUCGUUGGAAAUUGCUGCAAGAUGUCAUGCGCGCGAGGUGGUCUCCCGUUUGGCCUCGUGCGACCCGGUCGUACCAGAUUUUUUUCCAUUCUCCCUCGACGUGUUCCGCCGCACAGACCUGCAAGGCAGUGGCAGUGGCACCCCGGUCCCGGUGGUGGACGGCGUCCUGAGCGAGAUGACGUCCGUGACGGAGGGCCUGCGGUCGGCGGCGGCGCUCGGCGCGACGCUGCUCGGCGACGGCGAGGAGAACGUGGGGCAGUUCUUGUACCUGGAGUCGAUGGAGUACCACAUGUGGAACACCUAUGACGUCCACUUCUACGCAUCCUUCGCGCUGCUCUCUCUCUUCCCGGAGCUCGAGCUGAGCCUCCAGCGCGACUUCGCCCGCGCCGUCCUCCUCCACGACCCUCGCCCCAUGCGCACCCUCAGCGGCAGGACCGUGCCGCGCAAGGUCCUCGGCUCGGUGCCGCACGACGUUGGGCUCAACGACCCGUGGUUCGAGCUCAACGCCUACAUGCUCCACGACCCGUCGCGCUGGAAGGACCUCAACCCCAAGUUCGUGCUGCAGGUCUACCGGGCCGUCGUCGCCACGGGCAACGUCGCCUUCGCCAGGGCGGCGUGGCCGGCGGUGUACCUGGCCAUGGCGUACAUGGACCAGUUCGACCGGGACCGGGACGGCAUGGUCGAGAACGAGGGCCGCCCCGACCAGACCUACGACCUGUGGUCCGUGUCCGGAGUCAGCGCCUACACCGGCGGGAUCUGGGUCGCGGCGCUGCAGGCCGCCGCUGCCAUGGCGCGCGUCGUCGGCGACGGCGACGCCGAGUGCCACUUCCGCGCGCGGUACCGCAUGGCGAGGCGCGUGUACGAUGAGGAGCUCUGGAACGGCGCCUACUUCAGCUACGACAACAGUGGCGGCAAGACGAGCUCCUCCAUCAUGGCCGACCAGCUCGCGGGGCAGUGGUACGCUCGCGCGUGCGGCCUGGAGCCGGUGGUGGAGGAGGACAAGGCCCGGAGCGCGCUGGGGACGGUGCUGGACUACAACGUCAUGCGGGUGAAGGGCGGGACGGUGGGGGCGGUGAACGGGAUGCGGCCGGACGGCGCCGUCGACAUGUCGUCGACGCAGUCCAAGGAGAUAUGGCCCGGCACCACCUACCGCGCUGUGCAAGGCAGGGGAAAUGUCAGGUCAUACCAAUGUGGUGCUCCCGUGAGCUCUUGUGAACAUUUUGCAAAAGCUAUCCAAAAGUCUUAA